GUCAUCUUUCCUGGAGCUGCUUCUUUCAUUUGCCUUUUUCUUCUUGGAGGCACCUGCUUUGUUCCUACUAAUAACAAGAAAUGCAUCACAAUGCUUCCUCAGGCUUAACAUGCCUAAGGAUCACCUGGGGAUCUAGUUAAAAUGCAGAUGCGGAUUCAGUAUGUCUGGGUCUUGCUGAGAUCCUGCACUUCUAACAAGCAUCCAGGUGAUGCCAAUGCUGCUGGCCCAUGGACCACGCUGAGAAGCAAGGCACCAGGACUUAGGGAAAGAGGUACCAUGUGACUUUGUCCACUUAUGCUCACACCCAAUAACAAAGAAGAAAAAAAGGAGAAAAGGAUCAGAAAGAAGAAGAUGAGGCAGUGGCAGCAGAAGAGGAGGUAGCUGGAAAAACUUCCAUCUUUUGUUGCCUUAUAUACACCAAUCCGACCUUGCUCAACUCUGCCUGAGCUGCAUAGUCACCUCUAAGCUUUCCCAAACCACAGAUGAUUGGAGGCCACCCCAGAAUUACUGAGUCUGAAUCUGCUGCAGUUGUGCCCAGGUGUGUGUGCAGUGUUUAAGUUCCCCAUGAACCAUUCUAAUGCACAACCAGAUUUGAGCAAUACUGGAUGGGGCAGUUUACCUCAGAAAAGAUCUUAUUUCAUUGUCAUGACAACCACAGAAAGUACAUACUUUGAUCUUCAUCUUAUAAACAAUGAAUCCAAGUCACUGAGAAGUUAAAAACUUGCUCAGGAUAACACGGAAGAUGACCAUCUUUUACUACCCAACGACAUCUUUCUACCAAUGUGAACAGAGACUAGCAGCACAGUGAUCACCUGCAGAUAGACCUGG